UGAUGCAGCGACGCCGCGUGAGCGAUGAAGCCCUUCGGGGUGUAAAGCUCUUUCGGCAGGGACGAUGAUGACGGUACCUGCAGAAGCAGCUGCGGCUAACUACGUGCCAGCAGCCGCGGUAAUACGUAGGGGGGCAAGCGUUGUCCGGAUUUAUUGGGCGUAAAGAGCGUGUAGGCGGCCGCACAGGUCCGUUGUGAAAACUGGAGGCUUAACCUUCAGACGUCGAUGGAAACCGUGCGGCUAGAGUCCGGAAGAGGAGAAUGGAAUUCCUGGUGUAGCGGUGAAAUGCGCAGAUAUCAGGAAGAACACCCGUGGCUAAGGCGGUUCUCUAGUACGGUACUGACGCUGAGACGCGAAAGCGUGGGGAGCGAACAGGAUUAGAUACCCUGGUAGUCCACGCCGUAAACGAUGGGUGCUAGGUGUGGGGGGUGUCGACUCCCCCCGUGCCGAAGCUAACGCAUUAAGCACCCCGCCUGGGGAGUACGGUCGCAAGACUG
rnacentral:rRNA from 1 species